UACGGGGGGAGCAAGCGUUGUUCGGAUUUACUGGGCGUAAAGGGCGCGUAGGCGGCCACUGCAAGUCAGUUGUGAAAUCUCCGGGCUUAACCCGGAAAGGUCAACUGAUACUGCAGGGCUAGAGUGCAGAAGGGGCAACUGGAAUUCUCGGUGUAGCGGUGAAAUGCGCAGAUAUCAGGAGGAACACCGGUGGCGAAGGCGGGUCUCUGGACAUUUCCUGACGCUGAGGCACGAAAGCGUGGGGAGCAAACAGG
rnacentral:rRNA from 1 species